GUGGCACAUACUGUAGAUGGCAACCACAAGCUGAUCAGUGAAACAAUUUGGCUUACCAUCUAGAGUUUGAUCAGACAAGGGUGGAGAACUUGUUGGUGUAGCAGAACUCAUGGUUCAGAGAAGAGGAGUCAAUAGGAAUUUACACAUCGCAGGUAGAAGCGUACACAACCAAAGAAUUGAGAGGAUGUGGAGAGAUGUGUGAGCAUGUACUUGACCUUUUC